AUUUUCCCAAAAGAGCAACAAGAAUGUCUUUCUUAAUGUCUGUGUAGAGAUGUAAUGAAACUGUAGAAAGUGAGAUACACGUCUGGAGGUCUGAGUAGACAAAACACCCUCGAAAGUUAUGAUAAUUAAAAUAUCACUUUGACUGUAAAAAUACAGGAUUGUAGUCUUUCGAUAACAACGGAGCAUGUUUUUUUGCAAUCAGAGAACACUUGUUUAAGAAAUGUUGGUUUAAUAAAGUAUAUUUAUU